AGUGUGAACCAGACAUCACUCUCUUGAUACUAAUAGAAAUCAUGUAUAAAACCUGAAGGUUUGUCAAUCUGUCCUGAUCUAAAUAUUAAAACUGUGUUUUCUUUAUAGGUGUUUGGAUGAUGAAACUUGACGAGCUCCAAUUUGGCUUGGAUUACAGUACUUCAGAAGACUUUCUGAACUUGCCAGGCAACCCUCCCCCUAGACUUUGGGGACAGAGGAGCUUAAAUUUAUAUUUCCAGUGUCACACAAGGAGAAAGAAUGGAGUUGGCUGCUUUGUCCAAGUAAUGAAAAUCAAUGCUGUGUUGUUCUUGGAAGGAGCGCUCAAAAGGAAAGCCUGGCAUAUAGAUCUUGGUUUAGAGACAGAUUUUGCCUAGGAAGACUGUGCCCAGGGGAAGAUACAGGAAGAAGGAGAAGAGGUGAUGCUACAAGCUUCCUGACCUCCAGAGUGGGACUGAAGCUUUGUAACAAGAUUUAUCUGGAAAAUGUGACUGACAGGAGCAGCUUACUCACCAUUAGAUAAGUAUUGGAGAUGACUCAUGCUGGAGUAUUGGUAGCUGUGCUGCUGAGAUGGAUAUCCUGUUGUAUAACUGCUAUAGUGUGAUGCCAAGAACCAGGAACCUUAAUUUCACUAUCCAGGCUUUUCUGUGAAAGUGCUUUGGGUCUUUGGCACCUUUUCUCCUUGGUUUGUCCAUCUAAAGGGCUCACAAGGGGAGGUUUUGCUUCCCCCAGUGGGGUACAGGGUAUGGGGCAGCUCAUGUUACCUUGAAAUGAAAGCUAAUUGAAAGGCUGUAGCUUUAUUGCUGUUCUUCAGGACGUGCAAUAUUUGUCUUUUUCAUAGAUGUCAUUAGCAUCUUUCUUCGAUUCUUUGGUUUUUUUUGUUUUGUUUGUGUUUUUUCAGAGCCAUUAAACCCUUUCUUCAGUGGAACAAACCAGAAGGUCCAGAAACAGAUUUUCUAACUAUGGAAGCUCUUCUGAGGAGCCACAUUAUGUGCUGCUGCCCCUGGGAUGGGAUGCAGAGCAAGGAGUGAAGAAGAGCUGUGAUGUGCUACUGAAAAUUGCUUUAGUGAGGAGAGGGGCUUUCUGGCAUGUCAUGUGGUGCUGAAAGACAUUUUACUCUGAGCAGCAAAAAUCCUUAUCUUCUUUUUUUUUUUUUU